rnacentral:lncRNA from 10 species
GCAAAAAUUUGAAAUGAGAGUCUGCUCAUUACAGUUCCUUGUCUUCUGUUUUUCUCCCUUUCUUCUUGAGUGUUCUCUCAUCAGCUUAUCAGUAGAAAUGAGGGGAAGGCAUUCCAAGGCUUGUCCUAGAAUAUGGACAGAUACUCAGCCUGCUGUAGAAACUCUCUUAUUGUACCUGUUCAGAAACAGUCCAAGCAUUGGGUGAUGUGGCUUAUGUUGCGGAGUUCAACAGCAGCUGCCUUUUCCCUUCAGGUUACAAAUACUAAGCACGAAGGAAAUUGAGUGUCUCAACCAGAACCUUAUAAUAUUGGUCUUGGAAGUGGCACGGAGCAGCUGACGGGAGGCAGCACAGAAAUUCCAGAACAUGUGCUCCUGUCCGGCAAUGGCCACCUGAUUUUCUCUGCUACAAUGCUUCAAACUCUAUGGUUGAUUGUCAUCUGUUGUUGUUGUUGUUGUUGUUGUUGUUGUUUUGAGAUGGAGUUUCACUCUUGUUGCCCAGGCUGGAGUGCAAUUGUGCGAUCUCAGCUCACCACAACCUCUGCCUCCCAGGUUAAAGCCAUUCUCCUGUCUCAGCCUCCCGAGUAGCUGGGAUUACAGACAUGUGCCACCACGCACGGCUAAUUCUGUAUUUUUAGUAGAGACGGGGUUUCUCCACAUGGGUCAGGCUGGUCUCAAACUCCCAACCUCAGGUGAUCCACCCGCCUCCGUCUCAAAGUGCUGAGAUUACAGGCAUGAGCCACUGUGCCCGGCCGAUUGUCA